UACAGAGGUCUCAAGCGUUGUUCGGAUUCAUUGGGCGUAAAGGGUGCGUAGGUGGCGCGGUAAGUCGGGUGUGAAAUCUCGGAGCUUAACUCCGAAACUGCAUUCGAUACUGCCGUGCUUGAGGACUGGAGAGGAGACUGGAAUUCCUGGUGUAGCGGUGAAAUGCGCAGAUAUCAGGAGGAACACCGAUGGCGAAGGCAGGUCUCUGGGCAUUAACUGACGCUGAGGAGCGAAAGUGUGGGGAGCGAACAGG
rnacentral:rRNA from 1 species